rfam:Bacillus pseudalcaliphilus strain DSM 8725 super9, whole genome shotgun sequence.
CUCAAGGCAACUUGAUUACCUGAAGGAAGCUAGCGGCAAACUUCUGCCCCGAGGAACACGAAUCUCAUACAAGGCCAAGUGAUUCUGGAUGAGUCUGCAACUCAAGACAAAGUCCAUACGGCCGAAAUGGGUUGAAUUUUGGAGGUGACUGUGCUGGUAUUAAGUCAACAUA